UCUUCUAUAUGUUUAUUCGUUGCUACUAAUACUAUUUCUAACUCCUAGCACCUUAAAAACAGCAGGAAAGAGAAGUCUGUAACUCCUCUCCUCGACACUUAAGCGUCUGGAGGGCAGUGACUGAAUCCGGACAGAGCUGGCUGGUGUAUUCAAGACACUGAUACACACAUGGUGCACAUUUUGGCAGUGAGUGGAUGCUUUUACAUGAUGAAAUCACGGGGGUGAAAUCAGGCAUUUGUGUGAAGUUCAUGAGCUUUCACUCCAUUGGCUUCAGUAGUUGGGAAAUAGCUGCAUGUGGAUGCCAUAGAAAGCCUCCUUCAACCCCAUUUUAUCGUAGUAAUGGGAAAUUCAAAGCACGUUUCUCAACAGGAAGGAACUCCGGCUGGCGGCAGUUCCCGUGCAGCCACUAGAUGGCACCAUCUCGCCGGAUGUGAUCAAGCUCCGCAGAGAGGAGAAUGACUCUCACUAAAUAACUUCAUCAGAUACUUCAGGAGCUGUCGUUUGCUUCUUUCUUUCCCCCACCUCUAGAAUUUUCCUGUGUGUUCCAGAUCAUGUAAAUACAGAUGUGCCAGAGUCAGUCAUUCAAAUCAACUGUUUGGUGACUCACACCGCGCCGUGUAACAGAACAUUUCCCUUUGUUUUCAGUUCAAGUAUUUUUUUUUUUUAAGAUUUUAUUUAUUUAUUUAAGAGAGAGAGAACGAGAGACAGAGAGCACGAGAGGGAAGAGGGUCAGAGGGAGAAGCAGACCCCCUGCUGAGCAGGGAGCCCGAUGCGGGACUCGAUCCCGGGACUCCAGGAUCGUGACCUGAGCCGAAGGCAGUCGCUUAACCAACUGAGCCACCCAGGCGCCCUCAGUUCAAGUAUUUUGACAAUUCCUUUGUCACACAUUCCUCUGUCUUUCCUACAGUUACAUCAGUGGACGGGAUUGCUUUUCUGUUGUACUCAGACCGAAGGACAGGGAAAUGACUAUCUUCAAUGCACUGGCAAUUCUUUUCCAGUACAUCAAUUUCCUAGCCCUCUUUAAGAUCUCACUCAUCUGAUUUUGCACUGUGUUAGGGAGCUCCAGCUAUUGGAAUGAUGUUACGGAAAAGAAAUGUCCCAAGACACAAAGUAGACCCGGCUUUGUCUUUGUUUUUUGAAGAACAAAACACAACAAAACAAAAAUGAGAGGAAACGUUUAUUCACAGUCAGAAGCUGAACCAGCAAGACCAGGCAUGUUAGUAAGACUGCGUGACCUGUGAUCACUUGAGGUGGGCCCCCUCCCCGUCCCCCCGGCCCCAGACAGCACCCCCUCUAAAGCCAGACACACGCGGGCCCCCAGAGGAAAAUCUAGCAAGUCCAGAGCCAAUAGAAGAAACUAAUGCAAGACGCUUAGGGGCGAGAAGAGAGAAAUGAGACUCACUUAGUCUAAGGUCACAGGGUUGCACAUGCUGCCAGUGUGAGGCUCGUCCUGCAGAAGUACAAAGCUGGAACCACCCGCAGGCUUGGCGCUGGAGGCUGGGAGUUCCACCUCUUGGCUGGGGCCCUGUGGCUGUCUUGAGAAAUUCUUGAGUUUGGGAUCUCACAGAAUCUGAAGAAGUGGCCGCCCUGAGGUGGUGGCAGCCCCUGCAGUGGGAGGUGUUGAGGAAGGGGCAGCAGACCCGACCCAAGAAGGUGGAAGGCGUAUGGGUUGGCUGUGGGUCUCUCAGGAUCCACACCCUCAUUCAAGGAUCCAGGCUCUUCCUUGCUGGUGGUUCUGCCAUCUUCUGGGGCUUUCGUUUCCUCCACCAAUGCUUUGCAUCCUAUCAGCCAGGGAGAGAAAAGAAUGGAAAAAUUAUCCUCCACUUAAGUCGGGAGGUGACAUCCACCACAUCUGCUGGCACUCCGCCAUUGAGCACUGUUCCCAGGAACCCACGCCAGGAAGAAGAGAAGCUGGACAUUGGGCGUAAAAUAUUCUGGUAUUUACUACAUCUAUACACCAGCAAUAUAGAGUUUGAUUCAUAUGCCGAAGCGCUAACCCCCAGUAUCUCCGAAUGUGAUGGUAUCUGGAGACAAGGCCUUUAAAGAGGUGAUGAAGUCACAAAGAAGCCAUGAGAGUGGGACCUAAUCGAAUCUGACUGGUGUCCUCAUAUGAGAAAUUCUGGAUACACAAUGAGACAUUCGGUGCACAUGCACAGGAAGGACCAUGUAAGGACCCAACAAGAAGGUGGCCAUCUGCAAGCCAAGGAGAGAGGCCUCAAAAGGAACCCAACCCAUCCAGACCACACCUUGAUCUUGGACCUUCAGUCUCCAGAACUGUGAGAAGAUAAAUGUCUGCUGUGGAAGCCACUGAGGCUGUGGUAUUUUGUUAUGUCAGCCCUAGGAAGCUAGAACACCCCUCCCUAUUCUGCCCCUCUGGCCUCCGCUCUCCUCACCACACUUUCUUGUGUCUUCCUUUCCGCAUCAGCUCCUAGUCCAGCCGCCGCCCCUGUGUUCACGCCCUGUGGUCUACCAGCUGCUGAUGUCCCCGUGGUGGCCAUGCUCCUUGCCAGAGCUGUAUGGGUUCUAGACUGUUGUUUCACCUACUGUUUCUGUGAUGGACCAAAUGUGUCUCCCCCACCCCCAAAUUCAUGUUGAAGUCUUACCCCCACGAUGUGAUAGUAUUAGGAUAGUGUUAGGGCCUUUGGGAGGUAAUUUGGUUUGGAUGAGGUCCUGAGGAUGGAGACCUUUUAAAGGUCAUGAGAGAGCUUGCCUCCCCUCUCUGCUCUCUGCCAUGUGGGGAUGCCAGGAGAAGUUGGCAGUCUGCAACCCGAGAGAAGGAUCUCUCCAGAACUUGACCACAACGGAUCCCUGAUCUUAGACAUUCAGCACCCGGACCCUGAGAAAUAAAGGUCUGUUCUUUAUAAGCCAUCCAGUUUGGGGUAUUUUGUUAUAGCAGCUCAUACUGACUAAGGCACUCCCCAACUUUGACGCAGCCUGACUCUGUCUUCAGAGACAACCAAGGAAUCUGUGUUCGAGCGGUGUGACAUGGUUACCCAGAGGCAGGGUGUGGUGAAUCACUUGGGGCACCUGUUUAAGAUUCAGCUCCCCAGGCUCCACAGGCCACUCUGAGCUGUAGCCGUGGGGUGAGGCUGGUGAUUCUGAGGCAAAAGGAUCUCCCUGGCCCCGGGAGAAACUUGUAGCAGGGAAGCACCCUCCCUUCCACAUGCCCCACCUUUUGAGGGGCGGCUCUCCUUCCCAGAGUACUCUCGUCCGUGUUCCAAGUACCUCUCACACUUGCCAUAAUUACUGCUUCCUUCUCUCCAGAUCAGGUGGCCUUCUGCCCCACAGUGUAAUUCUCACACCCUUUCUCACUUACAGUGCUCUGUUCUCCUCAGGGCCCAGGCAAACCAGGGGAGAAGGCUCAGACAACAUCCAACUCCACUCAGGGCCACUCAAGCCUCAAAUUAGGGCUCUGAUUCAGUUGACAGCCCCAGGCUGUGCCCUAGAGCCCGGAACAGGGAGGCACCAGCCCUGCCCUGGGGGGACUUAGUUGUUAGUAGGAAAUGAGACACAGAAGCAGAUUAUUCCAAUAUCCUAUGGAAAGAGCUGAAAAGAAGUACGAACUGGGUCCCUUGGGAGCGCAGAUCAAGGGCCUUUUGCCCAACAUGCCCAACGUUCCGAGAAGUUUCCUGAUGCAGGCAACAUCUGACACGGCUGUGAAGAGCUAGGAUUAGUCUAGAUCGGGAACUGGCAAACUACAUACCAUGGGCCAAAUCCAGGCAAUUGGAGGUUUUUAUACAACCCACGGACAAGAAUAGUUUUUACAUUUUUAAAAAAAGAUUUUAUUUAUUUAUUUGAGAGAGAGCAUGAGCAGGGGGCAGAGGGGAUGUUCAGAAGGAAGAGGGAGAAGCAGACUCCCCACUGAGCAGGAAGCCCGACAUGGGACUCGAUCCCAGGCACCUGAGAUCACGACCUGAGCCGAAGGCUUAACCGACUGAGUCACCCAGGCACCCCUUUGCAUGUUUAAAUAAUUGGAAAAAAAUCAAGAGAACAAUAAUAUUUCACAACUACAAGAAAAUGAUAUGGAAUUCUAAUUCUCUGUGUCUAUAAAUAAAAUUUUAUUG